UACGAAGGGGGCUAGCGUUGCUCGGAAUUACUGGGCGUAAAGCGCACGUAGGCGGCUCUUUAAGUCGGGGUGAAAUCCUGGAGCUCAACUCCAGAACUGCCUUCGAUACUGGAGAGCUUGAGUUCGGGAGAGGUGAGUGGAACUGCGAGUGUAGAGGUGAAAUUCGUAGAUAUUCGCAAGAACACCAGUGGCGAAGGCGGCUCACUGGCCCGAUACUGACGCUGAGGUGCGAAAGCGUGGGGAGCAAGCAGG
rnacentral:rRNA from 1 species